GGUGCAAGGCUUACAGCGAAUGUCUGCAGGCAACUAAUUGAAGACCUUUGUCAUGCCCCAAUAACAAAGCCAUGUGACCAGUUAGAACCGUAUAUAAAGGCCUGCAGUCUGAAGUGCCACCAUCAACAUUUGCUGACUUCCAACAGCAUCUCUACAACUACUGAACUCAAGUGAGUACGAUUGAAUACAAUCUGUUCAGCUUUCAUAUGUUAUAUGGUUAGGCAUAGCUAGGUGUUCUGUUUCUUUGGUCUUCCCACAUUGUGGAGGGGAGGUGUACUUGUUGCAUUUGUGCCUCUUCUAUGAAGGUUCGACUCCCAGAAGCUUAAAGAUCUCCCAGGAGUAGCAAGGUUGGCAAGCAAUCCCUCUUUCUUCAAUGGUGUCCAUUGAUUUCUCAGCUCCAUUGCUUAAUUUCUUAAGGAUCAGAAAAGUAUGGCAGGACUAUCGGGGAGGGGAGGGUGAUUCACAACCAUACACUGUGUAUAUGUACUCAUGGAUUGCCUGGGAGUAUGCCUGAGGUCCAUCCAUCCAAUCCUCUCCUGUAUGUUCAAUGUUAUUCUGUUGUGUGUUUCAGAUCCCUCUCUCUCACUCAAGAUGGCCUGUUGUGGAAGUUCGUGCGGUUCUGGAUGUGGCGGCGGAUCUGGUUCCGGCAGUGGUGGAGUGUUGGUUGACACUGGCAACACCUCAGCUGUGCAUGUCCAACCCGGCGGUUGCUCCCUGACGGUUCCAGGACCCCGUCUUGUCUCCCACGGCAGCUCCCAAGUGUCUUGCCGCACUGUGUGUGCUUCCGAAUGCUGCCCACCCUCCUGCUGUGGGUCUUCUGGGAGUGGACAUGGGGGCUCUGGUCCAGGCAUGAGAGUCGAUAUGUCCUACCCAGGCUAUGAUGUGAUCAUGCCAGCAGCUUACCUGUCAAGCA